AUUGUCUCUCCGCCUAUCGUGAGAGCGUUUCGAUCCCCCCUCGCGUUCAGUUAUUGACCCGUUGAGCUCUCGACGGCACUAGACGUUCUGCGCGCGCACCCUCUCACAGACCGGGCUAGCUUAGUCUAGCCUAGUCUAACAAGAUGCCUGCACCCUGCGACUCUUGUAAAGACACGUGCGGUGGCGGGGCAGCCGCGUGCGGUGCUAAUUGCACCUGCGGCCCCAACUGUGCGUGCGGCGAUGGCAAGCCCUCUGGUGGCAAGCCAUGCUGCCAGGGAGGCGGCAAAAAGUAAAAUGCAAACUUCAAUUCUAAACUACCCUUUCCAAAAUGAUGCUCUAUUUUAAAAUGAUAUAAUCCUUAUUAUAUAAUAUCGUAGAUUUAUUAGCCGUAUAUCUCAUAAUAAAAAAAUAAUGUAGUUCUCUUUAAAUUAUGAUUAUUAUCGAGGAAAAAUGUUGUGUCGUCAUGAAAUGAAGUAGUAUAUAAGAUGUUAGUAUUAAAAUGAUAUUAUAUAGCUUAACUAGGUUAGAUAACAUUCGUCUCUGCUUGUAAAAUUAAGUGUAGUUUAUAUGAUUGUCACAUUCAGUGUUUAGCUUCGUGUUUAAAGGGUUUAUCCUUAGUACUCGCAAUACUCAUUAGUUUAAGAAGUGGGCACGCACACACACGUCUGAAUUUGUGUAGUGUAUCUAGUAAAUAAGAAACCUAA